UACGUAUGGGGCAAGCGUUGUUCGGAAUUACUGGGCGUAAAGGGCGCGUAGGCGGCACGGUAAGUCGGGAGUGAAAGCCCGGGGCUCAACCCCGGAACGUCUUUCGAAACUGCCGAGCUAGAGUGCGGAAGAGGCAACUGGAAUUCCCAGUGUAGCGGUGAAAUGCGUAGAUAUUGGGAAGAACACCUGAGGCGAAGGCGGGUUGCUGGGCCGACACUGACGCUGAUGCGCGAAAGCCAGGGGAGCGAACGGG
rnacentral:rRNA from 1 species